UCAGUUCAUAUGGGAUGGGACCUCCUGAACCCUUUUAGACAGGGCCGGCGCCACCUGCUGUGACAACUCUUGAGACGACUAGAAAACCAGAUAGAAAGAGACAGCAUGGAUGAAUAAGUCACAGCUGGCCAUGCUCCUGCAUCAGCUCUACUCCUUUUCUGCCUAGUGAAUCUGGACAAGAAAAUUAAAGCCUUCAGUUGGAAUGAUGUCAGCCCUACUUGGGAGUAGGGAGAAGAAGGCAGCUCCAGUGAGCCCUUGUAGCAGAAGAAUGUCAAGAUAGUGUUCUGCCCAGCACCAGAGUGGAAUAUGUCAGACCACUCGCAGCACUGCUGUUUGAUCUUAUCGGGCUGCUGCGGAGGUGAAGCUUAAAUGCCUGGAGAGAAUUAAACAAGCCUUAUUGACUUCCCACAGAGAAGCCUGUUCAGCUAGGUACCAUGAGGUUGAGAGAUUAACACUGCAGAAUGGAAACAAAGAACAUUGAUGAAGCACUUGGGUGAACUCGGGUAAGACAUUUUCUCCAAUCAAGUUAUCAAAGCCGAAUUCCUGUUAGUCCUUUUGGAACUCUUUUUGCUUAUGAAGCAGAUAUGGAUUGGAGGGCACACUGGUCCCUAUUGUUGUUCUGCAGGCUUGCUUGUGUUAGGUCAGCAUAUUAGUUCCCCUACCUCUGUAAAGACUGAGAACCACAUUUGGAAUCAGGACAGGAAGUACACCCCCUCCUUAAACCCUUUACUUUCUGGAGAAGUCACGGGUGGUGAAGAUGUUUCCUGCCAUUCUUUACAGAAGCAAGAGUCGCUUUAGGGUUGUUUCAUUAUCAGUGGAGUAGUUGUCCCGUGGACCUCUGCCCUUGAAGAGUGAAAGAGCAGUCAAGACAGAGCCCACUAGCCUCACGUCGUCACAGUUGCAAGCAAGCAAACCUGUCAUCUUCCUGUAUUAUCUACAAAUGGUGUUUGUUUCCUUUGACGUAUAUUCUAACACUUGGGGCAGGAGGGAUUUCUCGAAAAAACAAUAUUGUUGAGUAUACCAAUUCCCUGCCCCCAGCCAUCCUUUCUGUUUCCUUUUCAAGGCUCCAGGAAUUGCUAAAUGGCAUAUCCUGGACAACCAACACUCUUCAGCUAAAAAUACCAGAGGGUGAGCUUAUCUCGAGCAAUGCUUCCUCUCCAGGGGGUUCAUAGACAUUAUCUCAUUUAUUCUUAAAAACACCCUGUGAGGUAGGGCAUGGCCAAAGAACUGGAUCCCAGAAAGGUAAGGAAGCUUUAAGACAAAAGGUCACUGGCAGAGGUUCGAUUCUGAAGCCCGGCAGAACAGCUCAGAUGUGUAACUUUCAAGCUGUAAAAUCUACUCACCAGGCAUCAAUAACUUGACUGCAGGAGCCCAGAGACCCCCUUAUUAAAUAGAUAUAGAUAUAGGAGAUAGAGAUAGAUAGAGAUAGAGAUAGAGAUAGAGAUAGAGAUAGAGAUAGAGAUAGAGAUAGAGAUAGAGAUAGAGAUAGAGAUAGAGAUAGAGAUAUAUAACAAGACUCCUGGCAUACAGGAAAAGACAGAGCUUAGCGGAAAUUGGAUCCCCAAAGCUACUUCUUCAGGGUAAUGAUGAUUUCUUUGUUAUCUAUAACAAACUGGAGAAGAACAUUGAUCAUCUUUUCAAAUUGUCCCAUUGCCCUCCUAACCUCAUCUGCUAACAUGGCUUCAUGUCCCACCUACACAAACUGGAACAACUGGCUUAGUUGUCUCAGAGAAACAAGAUAUAUAUAUAUAUAUAUAUAUAUAUAUAUAUAUAUAUAUAUAUAUAUAUAUAUAUAUAUAUAUAUAUAUAUAUAUAUAUAUCCCUUCUAGAAGUCAGACAUGACUUGCUUAUACAUACUUCAAAAACAGAUUCCAUAAUCAACAAAAUACAUUGUUCUGACAUUCUAUAUAUUGUCUUAUAUUCCUUUCCUCAAGACUUGGUCCCAUGCCCAAACCCGAGAGUCAUGGCAGCUUCUAGGUCCUCUUAGGAGCAUACGCAAAUCCUGUUACUGACAUAUCUCCUCUAUGCCCCUCAUGACUAAUUUUUUUCCCACCCAUACUCAUGCCCAAGGAGAAUGAGCUUGGGAGCAUGAACUACCGAGCUCCCUCCUCUCUGCCUGCUAGCUGAUUUAGCAGGAGGUUAAGGGGAGACAAGAGUAUGUUGUUAGUUUUACCUUAUUUCUUCCCUGUAGGGUGACUAUGACUGAGUCCUGCCCACAAGGCCAGCUCCUCCUUCAAACACUGCUCUUUGUCUGGGUUUUUAGUAAGCAUCACUUCCUGAUGGCCACCAGCCUGGAAGUUUUAAAGGAUCCUCCUGCUAAUGUUCCCAAUUCUUUUGUCGUCCCUAUUAUAUGUAUUAAAGCCACAACACAUUCUGUAAAUAGUUCCUUCAUAAACUUGUUACAGCUCCUAGAUAGAAUGGAUUCCAUUGGUCCUAGUUUGUUUUUUUUUUGAUCUUGUAAUAAAACCAUGAUCAAAU
rnacentral:lncRNA from 1 species